rnacentral:rRNA from 1 species
UACGUAGGGUGCUAGCGUUGUCCGGAUUUAUUGGGCGUAAAGGGCUCGUAGGCGGUCUGUCGCGUCGGCUGUGAAAACCCGGGGCUCAACCCCGGGCCUGCAGUCGAUACGGGCAGACUAGAGUGUGGUAGGGGAGACUGGAAUUCCUGGUGUAGCGGUGGAAUGCGCAGAUAUCAGGAGGAACACCGGUGGCGAAGGCGGGUCUCUGGGCCAUAACUGACGCUGAGGAGCGAAAGCGUGGGGAGCGAACAGG